GUAUUUGGCCGAGUGGUUAAGGCGAUGGACUUGAAAUCCAUUGGGCUCCCCCCGGCGCAGGUUCAAAUCCUGCCAACUACG
rnacentral:tRNA from 1 species